rnacentral:tRNA from 1 species
UCCCAGGUGGUACAGUGGUAAAGAACCUGCUUGCAAUGCAGGAGAUGCAGGUUCGAUCCCUGGGUUGGGAA